rnacentral:rRNA from 1 species
UACGUAGGUGGCAAGCGUUGUCCGGAUUUACUGGGCGUAAAGAGCGCGCAGGCGGUCGAGUAAGUCGAAUGUGAAAGCCCCCGGCUUAACUGGGGAGGGUCAUUCGAUACUGUUCGACUUGAAGGCAGGAGAGGGCAGCAGAAUUCCCGGUGUAGUGGUGAAAUGCGUAGAGAUCAGGAGGAACACCCGUGGCGAAGGCGGCUCUCUGGGACGGUACUGACGCUGAGACGCGAAAGCGUGGGGAGCGAACAGG